CGGGGCUGUCCAGGCACGCGAGGCCCCUCAGGUACGCCCUCUCUUCCCUGCAGGAUCCGGCCCUCAAAGACGAGGGUCACGCACGCGUUACAACCCCGAAACAGUAGCACAAGAUUUAAUUUUUAAAAGAGCGUGUUUCUUCGGGGCUUGCCGUUCGUUCGUUUCCAGCCUCAGGAAUUUAUGGUCGCCUUUUUGAAUGAGCAACAAAAUGCUUCAACAAGUUCCAGAAAACAUAAAUUUUCCUGCUGAAGAAGAGAAAAUCUUGGAGUUUUGGACUGAAUUUAAUUGUUUUCAGGAAUGCUUAAAGCAAUCAAAACAUAAACCAAAGAAUAUGAAAUUGAUAAGACACUGGGAAUCAGAGGACCAGAGGAUGUGGCCAAAAUGGGGAUUACAGAGUAUAACAAUCAGUGCCGA
rnacentral:lncRNA from 1 species